GACGAACGCUGGCGGCGUGCUUAACACAUGCAAGUCGAACGAUGAAGAAGAGACACGCGAACUUCGGUUCAAAUUUCACUUCGGAUUAGUGGCAGACGGGUGAGUAACGCGUGAGCAACCUACCUCUUACAAAGGGAUAGCCUCGGGAAACCGUGAUUAAUACCAUAUGACACAUUCAUAAGGCAUCUUAAGAAUGUUAAAGCUACGGCGGUAAGAGAUGGGCUCGCGUCCCAUUAGCUAGUUGGUGAGGUAACGGCCCACCAAGGCGACGAUGGGUAACCGGCCUGAGAGGGUGAACGGUCACAGUGGAACUGAGACACGGUCCAAACUCCUACGGGAGGCAGCAGUGGGGAAUAUUGCACAAUGGAGGGAACUCUGAUGCAGCGACGCCGCGUGAGCGAUGAAGGAAUUCGUUUCGUAAAGCUCUGUUCUAUGGGAAGAAAAGGACUGUACCAUAGGAGAAAGCCCCGGCUAAAUACGUG
rnacentral:rRNA from 1 species